rnacentral:rRNA from 1 species
AGAGUUGAUCAUGGCUCAGGAUGAACGCUAGCUACAGGCUUAACACAUGCAAGUCGAGGGUAGCAGGGUAGCAAUACCGCUGACGACCGGCGCACGGGUGAGUAACACGUAUCCAACCUUCCCAUAACUCAGGGAUAGCCUUUCGAAAGAAAGAUUAAUACCUGAUAGUACUUUUUCAAGGCAUCUUGAGAAAGUUAAAGAUUUAUUGGUUAUGGAUGGGGAUGCGUUCCAUUAGAUAGUUGGUGAGGUAACGGCUCACCAAGUCUUCGAUGGAUAGGGGUUCUGAGAGGAAGGUCCCCCACAUUGGUACUGAGACACGGACCAAACUCCUACGGGAGGCAGCAGUGAGGAAUAUUGGUCAAUGGGCGAGAGCCUGAACCAGCCAAGUAGCGUGAAGGAUGAAAGGUCCUAUGGAUUGUAAACUUCUUUUAUAGUAGAAUAAAGUGAUCCACGUGUGGAUUUUUGUAUGUAUACUAUGAAUAAGGAUCGGCUAACUCCGUGCCAGCAGCUGC